GAUCAUGGCUCAGGAUUAACGCUGGCGGCAUGCCUAAUACAUGCAAGUCGAAUGGUUAGCUUGCUAACCAUGGCGAACGGGUGAGUAACACGUAGGUAACCUGUCUCAAGACGAGGAUAACCAUUGGAAACGAUGGAUAAUACUGGAUAGGACAAAUCCCCGCAUGAGGAGAUGUUUAAAGGAGCAAUCCACUUGAUGAGGGGCCUGCGGUGCAUUAGCUAGUUGGUGAGGUAAAGGCCCACCAAGGCGAUGAUGCAUAGCCGGACUGAGAGGUUGAACGGCCACAAUGGAACUGAGAACGGUCCAUACUCCUACGGGAGGCAGCAGUAGGGAAUUUUCGGCAAUGGGCGGAAGCCUGACCGAAGCAAUGCCGCGUGAACGAUGAAGUAUUUCGGUAUGUAAAGUUCUUUUAUUUGGGAAGAAAAAACAAAUUGACGGUACCAAAUGAAUAAGCUCCGGCUAACUACGUGCCAGCAGCAGC
rnacentral:rRNA from 1 species